GCCGCGUUGGCGUAGUGGUAGCGCGUCUCACUUGUAUUUAACACAUUUGACAGUCGUGGGAAUAAAUGAGAAGGUCGCUUGCUCAAUCCAGGCACGUGGCA